ACAAAAUUUGACCAAUACUUUCAUAGAAAAAAUUUAGAAAGUAAAAAAAUUCUUAUCUACAUAAUAAAAUUGAUCAUAAAGUUUCAGUUCUAUAAAAUAUAAUCCAGCUAUGAUCAUAGAAAUGAUAACUACACUACAUUCAUGGACUUCAUUUUGCUAGUAGAAAUCAAACAUCUAGAGGAUGACAAUUUAAAACAUAUAAAAACACUACACACCACACUCCAAAGAUCUAAGUCCCCUCUAAUAUACAGAACAAUUGAGUAUUAAUUGUAUUUCAAAGUUGAAGAUCCAAGGCAAGAACACAGCAAGAGUUUGGGAAUCUUUUGAGACUACCAGUGUUGAAGAAUGCAUACAAGCAUGAAUUCAUGCAAUGCAUCUUGCAUGCUCAAGCUGACUGAAAAAGAGUCGUUUGUGACCCCAUCAUUAAAUCCUCAAGAAUGUCUCAACACCAUAGCAUGCUCAAGUCCAAAAGAACUUAGAAGGUUGACGCUAAUGCUACCACAGGACAAAAAAGGUGCGACAACAAACCAGUCCUCCAUCUCAAGCAAUCUAGCUAAUACCAAGUAAUAUGAAGUUUCAAUUUCGUUCACCAUGGACUAGCAAAAGAAUUUCUCAUGGCAAUGUCAAAUACGAUUUAGAGAUAAGAAGCCAUCAGGCAAUUACAUGAGAAUUGUAUAAAUAUACCAUUCAAGUAAGAUCCACGGAUUGAAAUGUUGUUCUAAUUCCAUGUGGCAUAAAUCUAUGAUUUUCCCUUGCUGCUGCUAACCUGAAGGAUAGAAACACAAUGACGCCAACCCCAUUGCCUGCCUUGGUACAAAUAGUCUCUCUCUCCCCAGUUCAGCAAAUGGAUCCAUGAGCUUAGUAGAGGGUGUUGUAACCAAAAAGAAUAACCUAAAUUUAUGAAUUUCCAGUUGGUGUAGAAUUUGGUUCUGAUGAUCCAACUAUUUCUUCAAAGGCUUCCAUAUCAAUGGUCAUAUCAUCAUCAAUAUCGGCCUCCUGCACCUCAGCCAUUAUUUCAUCCCCAUCUCCUACCAUAGGUUCAACCCCAUUUUGUAUUGAAUUGGAUUGCGGCUGUGGUUCCUCAUGUGCUUUAUCUGGUUCAUCUAGCUUUUGCAUUGUUUGUGGAUAAGGAUCCAUGCAAACCGUUAAUGUAGAGGUCACCAACAGAUUCUUCUCUAGUGCAAGGGCAAGCUUUGACAGAUUUGGAUAGAUACUUCUUGCAGCCAAUAGGAUCUCACAGAGUCUCUGCAGGGUAAAUGGAGGACCUUCAUCAAAACUAUGAAGAGCUGUAGAGCAGGAAACACAAAUUUAUAAAUAGUUUCAUCCAAGAAAAAAGGAAUAUAUGAUUUAUAAUAUUUUUUUUCAAUUAGCCAAAGCAUAUAAAAGGGGGUUUGCCAGAAAAUGCUUUCAAUGGGGACAACAGCAAUCCUAAAUAGGAUUCUUGGCCUCAAGGACCUUGCAAAAAUUAGGGUUCACAGGAAGACCAGAAGCUAAAUCAUAUAUGGCACUCUGGUUUGUGGUUGGGUCUGAGUAAUCAAUUACUGGAUACUUCUCCCCCAUGAGUGUCAACGCUUACUCCAGUUUUCUAUUUCUAACAUCCUUGCUGAAAGUGUAUGGUGUUACAUUAUGCCAAUGACCAAAAAAUGGACAAUUGACGACUUUAUGCAAGGGUUGAAUGUCAAGGAAGAGAAUACAACUUUCCAUCAUAAAAGCUUGGGGAUCAUGCUUCAGCCCUGAUGGAGAACAGUCAAAGUUCACAUUUUUCAAAUCAGUUCCAGCAUAACUCAAACCUAAACCCAUUCCAGCCAAAAUCAGACUUCCACCCUUUCACAAAUUCAUUUAGAGAAUUUCUUUAGGUUUAUAUCCAAGGAUAACUUCCUUUUUGAGACAAAAUUAACAUCAAUGCUUAUGAGACACAUAGCCAAGUCCACAUGUCAAUUCUGACAAUUCAUCCAAGCCAUACUCAUCGUUCUAACAUGAGACUUGGCCUAUCUUGUCAUGAUCCCCCUUUUUAACAUUAACAAAUUCAAUAACAUUGUAUUGCCAAUUUAAACAAGACUCAUCUUGUAGACAGCUAAAAGCAAAGCAAUAAUGGUUUUGAAUCUACCUUCAUCCAACCUUUUCAUCAGUUCUUCAUAAGUUUCUCCCAAUAUAGCAUUCUGCUCCUCACUAGUCAUUUUUGCCUCAGGAUACUCUGAUAGAACCUUGAUGAAUUAGGAAAAAAAAAGUUGAGUAUCAUCAUCCAGGAACCAAUUAUAAAGAAAAUUAUGCACUUUUUAUUCUUAAAAUUAAAUCUAUAAAAGUGAUCACUGAUCAUUGUGAAGAAAUAAGAGACCUACAUGGUAGCAUGUCCCCAUACCUGCUUCAGAUGAAAGGAUAUCAUGCUCUUCAAUUUGUCCCAAUCAUGCCUAAGGUACAAAUCAAGAAACAAACACACAAUAAUAGGAGUUGAAAUGUUGAAUUAUAGUGACCAUCCACCUAUAUAUUUAAUAGUCAGAAAAAAAAAUGAUAUCUAUUCACUUCAUAAAUGCACACAUGCAAGCUUCUACAUGUAUAACAAAAUGUGUCCAUUUUCGCUAGUUAUUAAUUGUAUGAAUUAUGUCUACAUAAGAGAAAAGUACAUGCUAAAACUAAUCCAAACCUCAUUAAUCAAAUCAGAUAAGGAAAAACUAGUAUUAAGCUAAAUACGUACCAAAAUUUCCCAGUGGAUGCAAUAAGUUCAAGAAUGCCUCUAACUUCUUCUUUGUCAAUCCCGGGCUUGGAUUCUUCACCUCUAAAUUCCCAAGUGCAAUACUACUUCAGUAUGCUAGAAGUUGUUAAAACCCUAUGUACAUGCAACUUUGUGAAAGAUACAAUUUACAGAUAUUUAAUAAAGAAAGUGCAAGGAGAGGAUGUAUUACACCAACACCAAGGCCAAGUUUUCAACAACAUUCCUCAAAGUUCUUCACAUUUCAUCUGAUAUUAAAUUCCUACUAGGAAUAUACCAAUUAGUAACAUCCACAUACAGUCAACAUACAUAAUAAUUAGCAACCCAUACUAGAAACCAGUGAGAUAAUUGACCAGAAAUUUUACAAUGAAAUUUUACAAUUCUGGAAUGGAACAGAUUGCUCUUUCACAACCAAGGUGGAAUUAAGCUCAUCCUCCGUGCCAAUGGUGCAAUUUACCCAUCGCUUGGCACAAACUUGUACAGUUUCACCCUUCUACUCCUAAGCAUAACUUCUUAUUAUGGCUAAACAUUGUGGCCCCCAACUGCUGAACGACUUAUAUUAAAGCAGCCAGACAUCUCAUCCUUUAAAUGCCUAUUCCCAUUAUGUCGUUAAAGUUAGCUUAUAAUUCUCAUAUUUAGCAUGUAGAGGUAGAAUUUAGACUGUACAUAAAAGAAUCCCCAAAAUUCUAGAUUUUCCCAGAAAAAAGAAAUUACCCAUGACAACCCCAUUAACCAGAAAUCAUUCCAUCAAUUUCCUUUAAUCCCUGCCCUAUUCCGAACACAGCAAGCUUCAAAUCCACAUAGCAAGAGGAAAACAAGCAAAGUGGUAUUGUGCUUCAGUAAAUACCAGCCAAAGAACUUUACACGCUAACUGAUUCUUUUGCAUAGACAAUAAGACUUAAACAACUAUCUGAAGCAAGAAACAUUUACCCAUGAUUUAAGGAAUUGGGAACCAUAUUAUCCUCGCGGUGCUCAGCAUCGUUGGAUAAAGCGACUGAUUGCUCUGAAUUUUCAGUUGGGGGCAUCGCCAUCGGAGCUUUCACCUGUUAGAAAUGACAGUCGAGAUAUUUUAACAAUCUCCCUGUGACGCCGGUACCCUAAUA
rnacentral:misc_RNA from 1 species